GACGGAAGAUCGCUGAUGAGGAAAAGCAGAAAGAAAUAAUUUAACUGAGCUUGAAAUGAAACAAGAGCUAGCGAAUCUCUGCUGGACAGCAGCGUGUCACUGUAGGAGCUGCUCAGUGCUGCUAGGAUGACCUGCAUGUGGUGGGAGUUAUUACACUGGUAUAGUAUGACUAUGUCACCUGCAGCCUCCAGCAGUACCAGUUACCUGAGACCACACAUCUCAGCGACGUGUGCGUGCCCAUCCCAGCAGGGGAAAGAGGGAAGCCCCAGCUGUCCCAGCAGAACACACCAUAAAAGAUGAUUGAUGUCACCCCAGAGUCAUAGACGGUCUUCAGAAACUCCAAAACAAUUGAAUCUAGGCUUCUAGGUGUCCAUCAGGUGUGAUGUCAGAGCCACCAGCCUGCAGCUGUUGUUCAUUUACAUCUGCCUAAUUUAUCAUUUAUCCUCAGCACAAU